UACGUAGGGUGCGAGCGUUUGUCCGGAAUUAUUGGGGCGUAAAGGGCUCGUGAGGCGGUCUGUUACGUCUGCUGUGAAAACCCGGGGCUUAACCCUGGGCUUGCAGUGGAUACGGGCAGACUAGAGGCAGGUAGGGGAGAAUGGAAUUCCCGGUGUAGCGGUGAAAUGCGCAGAUAUCGGGAGGACACCGGUGGCGAAGGCGGUUCUCUGGGGCCUGACCUGCGCUGAGCGCGAAAGCGUGGGAGCAAACAGG
rnacentral:rRNA from 1 species